rnacentral:ncRNA from 1 species
UUGUUGAGGUGAGAAAGGGCUCCUCACGCGCUGGCUUUUCAGUAAAAAGAGAUGUAGGAUACGCCGACCUACCUACA